AAAUUCGAUAAGUAAUGUGAAUUGCAGAAUUCAGUGAAUCAUCGAAUCUUUGAACGCACGUUGCGCUCCUUGGUAUUCCUUGGAGCAUGCCUGUUUGAGUAUCAUGAAAUCUUCAAAGUAAAUCUUUUGUUAACUCAAUUGGUUUCUACUUUGGUAUUGGAGGUCUUUGCAGCUUCACACCUGCUCCUCUUUGUUCAUUAGCUGGAUCUCAGUGUUAUGCUUGGUUCCACUCGGCGUGAUAAGUUAUCUAUCGCUGAGGACACUGUAAAAGGUGGCCAAGGUAAAUGCAGAUGAACCGCUUCUAAUAGUCCAUUGACUUGGACAAUACUUUUAUGAUCUGAUCUCAAAUCAGGUAGGACUACCCGCUGAACUUAAGC
rnacentral:misc_RNA from 1 species